rnacentral:rRNA from 1 species
UACAGGGGGUGCAAACGUUGCUCGGAAUUAUUGGGCGUAAAGCGCGCGUAGGCGGCUACCUAAGUCGGAUGUGAAAGCCCCUGGCUUAACUGGGGAAGUGCACCCGAAACUGAGUAGCUAGAGUGCAAAAGAGGGUCGCGGAAUUCCCGGUGUAGAGGUGAAAUUCGUAGAUAUCGGGAGGAACACCGGUGGCGAAGGCGGCGACCUGGGUUGACACUGACGCUGAGGCGCGAAAGCGUGGGGAGCAAACAGG